UACGUAGGAGACGAGCGUUGUCCGGAGUUACUGGGCGGAAAGGGUGCGCAGGUGGCGGCGCGCGUGGGGGGUGAAAUCGCCCGGCUUAACUGGGCGGGGGCCUUCCAGACGGCGUGGCUUGAGCAGCGGAGGGGGACGUGGAAUUCCGGGUGGAGCGGUGAAAUGCGUAGAGAUCCGGAGGAACACCGACGGCGAAGGCAGCGCCCUGGCCGCCAUCUGACGCUCAGGCACGAAAGCUGGGGGAGCGAACAGG
rnacentral:rRNA from 1 species